GGGCCCGUGGUCUAGCGGUUAUGACGACGCCUUCACACGGCGUAGGUCGCAGGUUCGAUUCCUGCCGGGCCCA
rnacentral:tRNA from 1 species